GACGAACGCUGGCGGCGUGCUUAACACAUGCAAGUCGAGCGAUGAACCUCCUUCGGGAGUGGAUAGCGGCGGACGGGUGAGUAACACGUGGGUAACCUGCCUCAUAGAGGGGAAUAGCCUUUCGAAAGGAAGAAUAAUACCGCAUAAGAUUGUAGCUUCGCAUGAAGCAGCAAUUAAAGGAGUAAUCCGCUAUGAGAUGGACCCGCGUCGCAUUAGCUAGUUGGUGAGGUAACGGCUCACCAAGGCGACGAUGCGUAGCCGACCUGAGAGGGGGAGCGGCCAAAUGGGGACGGAGACACCGCCCAGACUCCUAGGGGGGGCAGCAGUGGGAAAUAUUGCACAAGGGGGGAACCCCUGAGGCAGCCACGCCGCGUGAGUGAGGACGGUCUUGGGUUUGAAAAGCUCUGUCUCCAGGGACGAUAAGGAGGGUACCGGGGGAGGAAGCCACGGCUAACUACGUGCCAGCAGCCGCCGUAA
rnacentral:rRNA from 1 species